rnacentral:piRNA from 1 species
UAAUUGGGUGUUUAUUUACAUUUAAUGUGU